rnacentral:sRNA from 2 species
AAUAAUGUUAUCUAGGGUUCCGCGAUUGAUAAAUCGGCUGGUCCGAGAGAUAACUCACGGCCGGUAGGUCGUGUCACGGAGGGAUAAAAGCCCGGGAGAU